rnacentral:rRNA from 1 species
UACACGACAGACUCAAAAUAAUACCAACGGCGUAAAGCACGACUAAAAAUAGUUAACUAUAUAGGGAAUAAAAUAAAGCCGGGCUGUAAAAAGCCAUAGGCAACAGUAAAAACACCUAUAAAUAAACACAUUCCACUCGUGAAAGCUAGGACACAAACUAAGAUUAGAUACCUUACUAUGCCUAACCGUAACACAACAAUCAAAAUACCAAUUGUUCGCCAAAUAACUACGAGUAAAAACUUAAAAUUUAAAAGACUUGACGGUACUUCACAACACCCUAGAGGAGCCUGUCUAAUAACCGAUACCCCACGAUCAACCCAACCCCCCCUAGCCAAACAGUCUAUAUACCGCCGUCGCCAGCCUACCUUAUGAAAGAAACAAAGUAAGCCCAACAGCCACACCACAAACACGACAGGUCGAGGUGUAACUCAUGCGGGGGAAAAAGAUGGGCUACAUUUUCUAUACCAGAAAAUACGGAUAAAAUAUGAAAUUAAAAACUGAAGGAGGAUUUAGCAGUAUACUAAGAACAACAUACUUAGUCGAAACCAAUGCAAUGAAGUGCGUACACACCGCCCGUCAUCCCUGUUGACAUAACACAAACAUCCAUAAACA